rnacentral:ribozyme from 1 species
AAAAAAAAAAAAAUGUGAAAAUGAAAACUUCUCUUUUUUUUUCUUUUUUUUUUAACACAAGUCAAAGGCGAGAUGUAGAAUCUAGAUACCGAAGACCUUUUCAUAUCAUACACGUGUACGCGCACGUACCCU